GAUGAAGAACGUAGCGAAAUGCGAUAAGUAAUGUGAAUUGCAGAAUUCCGUGAAUCAUCGAAUCUUUGAACGCACAUUGCGCCCCCUGGCAUUCCGGGGGGCAUGCCUGUCCGAGCGUCAUUUCUGCCCUCAAGCACGGCUUGUGUGUUGGGUGUGGUCCCCCCGGGGACCUGCCCGAAAGGCAGCGGCGACGUCCGUCUGGUCCUCGAGCGUAUGGGGCUCUGUCACUCGCUCGGGAAGGACCUGCGGGGGUUGGUCACCACUAUAUUUUACCACGGUUGACCUCGGAUCAGGUAGGAGUUACCCGCUGAACUUAAGCAUAUCAAUAAGCGGAGAA
rnacentral:misc_RNA from 1 species